rnacentral:rRNA from 1 species
AGGAAAGCAGGGGAUCGCAAGACCUUGCGCUUUUGGAGCAGCCGAUGUCUGAUUAGCUAGUUGGUGAGGUAAAGGCUUACCAAGGCUUCGAUCAGUAGCUGGUCUGAGAGGACGACCAGCCACACUGGGACUGAGACACGGCCCAGACUCCUACGGGAGGCAGCAGUGGGGAAUUUUGGACAAUGGGGGCAACCCUGAUCCAGCCAUGCCGCGUGAGUGAAGAAGGCCUUCGGGUUGUAAAGCUCUUUCAGCCGGAACGAAAAGGUUACGGUUAAUACCCGUGACUAAUGACGGUACCGGAAGAAGAAGCACCGGCUAACUACGUGCCAGCAGCCGCGGUAAUACGUAGGGUGCGAGCGUUAAUCGGAAUUACUGGGCGUAAAGCGUGCGCAGGCGGUUUUGUAAGUCAGAUGUGAAGUCCCCGGGCUUAACCUGNGAACUGCGUUUGAAACUACAAAGCU